GCGGGUGUGGCGGAAUGGCAGACGCGGCAGAUUUAGGAUCUGUUGCCCAUGGCGUAUGAGUUCGAGUCUCUUCACCCGCACCA
rnacentral:tRNA from 1 species